rnacentral:rRNA from 1 species
GAUGAACGCUGGCGGCGUGCCUAAUACAUGCAAGUCGAGCGAACAGACGAGGAGCUUGCUCCUCUGACGUUAGCGGCGGACGGGUGAGUAACACGUGGAUAACCUACCUAUAAGACUGGGAUAACUUCGGGAAACCGGAGCUAAUACCGGAUAAUAUAUUGAACCGCAUGGUUCAAUAGUGAAAGACGGUUUUGCUGUCACUUAUAGAUGGAUCCGCGCCGCAUUAGCUAGUUGGUAAGGUAACGGCUUACCAAGGCGACGAUGGGUAGCCGACCUGAGAGGGUGAUCGGGCACACUGGAACUGAGACACGGUCCAGACUCCUACGGGAGGCAGCAGUAGGGAAUCGUCCGCAAUGGGCGAAAGCCUGACGGAGCAACGCCGCGUGAGUGAUGAAGGUCUUCGGAUCGUAAAACUCUGUUAUUAGGGAAGAACAAAUGUGUAAGUAACUAUGCACGUCUUGACGGUACCUAAUCAGAAAGCCACGGCUAACUACGUG